CUUGAAUUAUGAAUUGUAUGUACAUUUCACUUAUAUAAUUUAACUGUUAAAUGAAAUGUUGAUUUAAAAAAGCAUAAGUAGGAUUCAAAUUAUUAAGACUAUUGUACAGAAGUUCCAUUCUAUCUGUAGAGGAUAAAUUCCAAGCCCUUCUAUGGAUACCUGAAAUUGUGAAUAGCAGUAAAAUGCUAUAUACUGUAUAUUCCUAUGAUAAAGUUUAAUUUAUAAAUUAGGCACAAUAAAACAUUAACAGCAAUAAUUAUUAAUAAAAAUAACUUUUUAUUAUUAUAAUUGUUCUAUGUCAGUGUUUCCCAAAGUGUGGUAUGCGUACCCCUAGGGGUACGGGAAGAGUUUGAUAGGGGUACAAG
rnacentral:lncRNA from 1 species